UCUUUGUAGUUUUGUCAUAAACCUUUUGAUUGCCGCCGAUCGUUUGUUAUUGCUGUUUGAUUUUUUCUGUUCCUGUUUUUAUUUUUACUUCUUACUUCCUUUUUUGGGUAAGAGGAAAAUUCAUGAGAUAGGAACCAACAACUGGGAAAUGUUAUGUAUAUGCUUUGUUUGACUCAUGUUUUAUUGUUAAUAUGCUCCAACAGACAGGUGUUUUAUUUAAGAUGUGCCAAAGCUGAAUUUAAAAUAGAUAGUUGAUAGUUUAUUGUAAUGAAUGAGAACCUUAUUUCUGAUAAAUAAUUUAUAAUGUCUAUUGGGGAGGAUAUGAAUGUUAUAUUGCUAAUGAGAAGUAAAAAGCUUUUUGAGAAAAGACUGACACCAUAAUACGUUUUAAAUUUCCAAGCCACAAACCAUGGCUGUAGCAUGGUUAUCAGAAUUCCAAUUUGGAUCGUAGUAGGAUCUUAAAGUGACUAUAAUCCUAGGCAUAAAAUCCUGUAGAAUCGCAUUACGAUCCCGAUUCUAUUACAAUCCUAAUCCUACAACCAAAAAAAAAUUUAAUUUUUAGUGGACACCCUGUUUUUUUUUUAUUUUUUCGUAAAUUUUUUUUCGUUACACCUGAUUAACUACCAUAUAUAGAGUUAAUUGUAAUCACAUAUUAGUAUUCUUCUCACAAUUCUUUAUGAUGGACCCUCUGCAUGUGAGUUCCUACAAAAUAAAUUUGUGUAUUCUACAAUCCAAGACAGGUAGGAACCCUUUAAGUCCAACCCUUCCCACUCCCAUCAGACAUGAAAAAAUUCCCCAGGGAAAGCUUUGGUUUCUCCAAUUGAGAGAUAUGCAGUUGUUCCUGAUGACAACGUCAAAAGGAUAAAUUUUGCCGAGGGGAAGAUCUGAUUAUAGAAGGAAUUUGGAGCUUGAUUUUUGAAAUAGGCUCAAAAUUGAGAACUUGUUGGAAAUUUUUUAAUUUUUGUAAGAGCAUUUAAAUAUCCAAUGUGCUGAUUGGUGAAUUUUAGAUUUUAUUUUUUUAUUUUAUUUUUUUUUAGGAUU